CCCGGGGCUCAACCUCGGAAUUGCCUUCAAUACUGGCUGUCUUGAGUAUGGGAGAGGUGAGUGGAACUCCGAGUGUAGAGGUGAAAUUCGUAGAUAUUGGGAAGAACACCGGUGGCGAAGGCGGCGACCUGGUCCAUAACUGACGCUGAGGCGCGAAAGCGUGGGGAGCAAACAGGAUUAGAUACCCUGGUAGUCCACGCUGUAAACGAUGUGUGCUGGAUGUUGGGCGACCUAGUCGCUCAGUGUCGUAGCUAACGCGAUAAGCACACCGCCUGGGGAGUACGGCCGCAAGGUUGAAACUCAAAGAAAUUGACGGGA
rnacentral:rRNA from 1 species